rnacentral:misc_RNA from 1 species
CCGAGUUAUACAACUCCCAAACCCACUGUGAACCUUACCAAAUCGUUGCUUCGGCGGGACAGCCCCGGGCCCUCGCGGCACGGAACCAGGCGCCCGCCGGAGGCCAAAAAACUCUCCUGUUUUCUCUUAGCGGAAUUUAUCUGAGUGGCCCUUCAUGGGCAAGCAAAUGAAUCA